rnacentral:tRNA from 1 species
AUAUCAUUCCAUUAUAUUGACAAUUUCUAAAAUAUAUUGACAAUUUCAAAAAACUGUUCAUACUAUGAACGUAGUAUAAUGGCG